GACGAACGCUGGCGGCGUGCCUAAUACAUGCAAGUCGAGCGGACUUUUGGGAGCUUGCUCCCAAAAGUUAGCGGCGGACGGGUGAGUAACACGUGGGCAACCUGCCUAUAAGACUGGGAUAACUUCGGGAAACCGGAGCUAAUACCGGAUAAUUCAUAUCUACUCAUGUAGAUAUGCUGAAAGACGGUUUACGCUGUCGCUUAUAGAUGGGCCCGCGGCGCAUUAGCUAGUUGGUGAGGUAACGGCUCACCAAGGCGACGAUGCGUAGCCGACCUGAGAGGGUGAUCGGCCACACUGGGACUGAGACACGGCCCAGACUCCUACGGGAGGCAGCAGUAGGGAAUCUUCCGCAAUGGACGAAAGUCUGACGGAGCAACGCCGCGUGAGUGAUGAAGGUUUUCGGAUCGUAAAACUCUGUUGUUAGGGAAGAACAAGUACUAGAGUAACUGCUAGUACCUUGACGGUACCUAACCAGAAAGCCACGGCUAACUACGUGCCAGCCGCCGCAGUAACAC
rnacentral:rRNA from 1 species